UGGCGAACGGGUGAGUAAUGCGUGACCAACCUGCCCCAUGCCCCAGAAUAGCUCUUGGAAACGGGUGGUAAUACUGGAUGCUCCAACUUGACGCAUGUCUUGUUGGGAAAGUGUUUAGUGGCAUGGGAUGGGGUCGCGUCCUAUCAGCUUGUAGGCGGGGUAAUGGCCCACCUAGGCUUCGACGGGUAGCCGGCCUGAGAGGGCGGACGGCCACAUUGGGACUGAGAUACGGCCCAGACUCCUACGGGAGGCAGCAGUG
rnacentral:rRNA from 1 species